CGAAUGAGGAGAUUCAUCGUCAGCUUAUUCAGUAUUAAUGCAGGCUAUGAUGUGAUAAUAGAAUCCUUGUGGUCACUAGAUUAUACUUGCUUGUAUUAUUUUUGCUGGGUAUGUCGGCGUGCACUUCUCCUCUAGUAGAACGUCGCAACCCGUUGGAUGUUUAUCUAUGGCUUGAAUGGUAGCCUUUGAUAUUUUUUAUAUUGAAGACCUUCGAUGUCCUGAUAAACUGUUUGACGGUAUACAUAUGGUAUUGAGCCGCAAUUAUUUGCGUUAGACUUGCCGCAAGUAUGACUUUAUUCUAGUAGUGCGGAUCUAAUGCCGUCGCUGGACAAAGUCUGCUGUU
rnacentral:rRNA from 1 species